rnacentral:rRNA from 1 species
UAUAGGGCGAAUUGAAUUUAGCGGCCGCGAAUUCGCCCUUAGAGUUUGAUCAUGGCUCAGAUUGAACGCUGGCGGCAGGCUUAACACAUGCAAGUCGAGCGGGGAAAAGUAGCUUGCUACUUAACCUAGCGGCGGACGGGUGAGUAAUGCUUAGGAAUCUGCCUAUUAGUGGGGGACAACAUCUCGAAAGGGAUGCUAAUACCGCAUACGUCCUACGGGAGAAAGCAGGGGACCUUCGGGCCUUGCGCUAAUAGAUGAGCCUAAGUCGGAUUAGCUAGUUGGUGGGGUAAAGGCCUACCAAGGCGACGAUCUGUAGCGGGUCUGAGAGGAUGAUCCGCCACACUGGGACUGAGACACGGCCCAGACUCCUACGGGAGGCAGCAGUGGGGAAUAUUGGACAAUGGGGGGAACCCUGAUCCAGCCAUGCCGCGUGUGUGAAGAAGGCCUUUUGGUUGUAAAGCACUUUAAGCGAGGAGGAGGCUACCGAGAUUAAUACUCUUGGAUAGUGGACGUUACUCGCAGAAUAAGCACCGGCUAACUCUGUGCCAGCAGCCGCGGUAAUACAGAGGGUGCAAGCGUUAAUCGGAUUUACUGGGCGUAAUGCGCGCGUAGGUGGCCAAUUAAGUCAAAUGUGAAAUCCCCGAGCUUAACUUGGGAAUUGCAUUCGAUACUGGUUGGCUAGAGUAUGGGAGAGGAUGGUAGAAUUCCAGGUGUAGCGGUGAAAUGCGUAGAGAUCUGGAGGAAUACCGAUGGCGAAGGCAGCCAUCUGGCCUAAUACUGACACUGAGGUGCGAAAGCAUGGGGAGCAAACAGGAUUAGAUACCCUGGUAGUCCAUGCCGUAAACGAUGUCUACUAGCCGUUGGGGCCUUUGAGGCUUUAGUGGCGCAGCUAACGCGAUAAGUAGACCGCCUGGGGAGUACGGUCGCAAGACUAAAACKCAAAUGAAUUGACGGGG